rnacentral:lncRNA from 1 species
GGGGGUGGAGUCCGGCUCCCAUAGGAGCUCGGGCGAGAUCCACCUGUAAUCAAGGUCAGGGAUGAAGUCCGGCUCCCAGCAGUCGAAGUUGAGGAUGGAGCCUGGCUCCCGUAGGAGUCCGGGCAGAGUCUUCCUGCAAUUAAAGUCAGGUGCGAAGUUCGGCUCCCGUAGGAGUCCAGAUGAAGCUUACCAGCAGUUGGAGUUGAGGACGGAGCCCAGCUCCCGUAGGAGUCCGGGUGGAGUCUUCCUGCAAUUAAAGUCAGGUAUGAA